rnacentral:rRNA from 1 species
CGGCGGACGGGUGAGUAACACGUGGAUAACCUACCUAUAAGACUGGGAUAACUUCGGGAAACCGGAGCUAAUACCGGAUAAUAUAUUGAACCGCAUGGUUCAAUAGUGAAAGACGGUUUUGCUGUCACUUAUAGAUGGAUCCGCGCCGCAUUAGCUAGUUGGUAAGGUAACGGCUUACCAAGGCAACGAUGCGUAGCCGACCUGAGAGGGUGAUCGGCCACACUGGAACUUAGACACGGUCCAGACUCCUACGGGAGGCAGCAGCG